GACGAACGCUGGCGGCGUGCUUAACACAUGCAAGUCGAACGGGCCCGCCCCUGUUUUUGGGGGUGGGUUGAGUGGCGAACGGGUGAGUAUCACGUGAGUAACCUGCCCCCUGCUCCUGGAUAACUGCUUGAAAGGGCGGCUAAUACGGGGUGUGCCGGCUGGUCCGCAUGGGCCUGGUCGGGAUAGUUUCAUCUUCGGGUGUUUCGGUGGGGGAUGUGCUCGCGGCCUAUCAGCUUGUUGGUGGGGUGAUGGCCCACCAAGGCGGUGACGGGUAGCCGGCGUGAGAGGGUGGGCGGCCACACUGGGACUGAGACACGGCCCAGACUCCUGCGGGAGGCAGCAGUGGGGGGUAUUGCACAAUGGGCGGAAGCCUGAUGCAGCGACGUCGCGUGAGGGAUGGAGGCCUUCGGGUUGUGAACCUCUUUCUCCGGUGGUGAAGGCCCUGUCCGUUGCGGCGGGGUUGACGGUAGCCGGGUAUGAAGCGCCGGCUAACUACGUG
rnacentral:rRNA from 1 species